AUGGUGCGUAUCCUGAAUGUCAAAACGACUCUCGGCAACGGAUAUCUCGGCUCUCGCAUCGAUGAAGAACGUAGCGAAAUGCGAUACUUGGUGUGAAUUGCAGAAUCCCGUGAACCAUCGAGUCUUUGAACGCAAGUUGCGCCCGAAGCCUUCGGGCCGAGGGCACGCCUGCCUGGGCG
rnacentral:rRNA from 1 species